CCGAGGCAAAUCUGACUGGAAGAACGCGGUGUACGGUGGUUGUGUAACUGGAGGAGCGAUCGGAUUUCGUGCUGGUCUGAAGGCUGGGGUCCUGGGAUGAGGAGGCUUUGCUGCAUUCUCUGCUGCCAUUGAAUAUUAUUUGCGGUGAACCACUAAAGAGUGGCUCUGUGGACAAGAACUUAAUCCAUGCACAUCUGGGUGAGCCUGUAAAGACUCAAGCAGUGAGAACCCUAACUUUGUGAAUAUUUGCCUGCACAUGGACGAUUGCUGCAAAAGCAGAACGGAUGUAUUUGGUGAAAGCGACAGGUGCCUGUUUGUGCACAGUGAUGCCACAGUGAACUAAAAAAGACCUGUCUGAAUGUUCCUCUCAUGUCUCAUCACUUUUAUCUUGUGGACAGUUUGAGCAAAGCAAACCAACUUCAUAUGGAGAAUAGAGAGACUUAGCAGAGUGGGUCCCCUUCUGUGUCAGAGGUAUGAUGAUGAAAUGAAAAUGUUGAACACAAAUCACUUUCACACUGAGUCACGACCGCCUCAAAUCAGACUCAGAUAAACACUGUUCUUGUUGCAGAACAUUGGUGUGAUGUGUCAGUAACCAAUCCAUAUCAGCUGUCAUUAAAGCUGUUAUUUGUUAA